rnacentral:rRNA from 1 species
UACUCCUACGGGAGGCAGCAGUCGGGAAUAUUGGGCAAUGGACGAAAGUCUGACCCAGCAAUGCCGCGUGAGUGACGAAGGUUUUCGGAUCGUAAAGCUCUGUCUUCAGGGACGAAAAAGGUGACGGUACCUGAGGAGGAAGCCCCGGCUAACUACGUGCCAGCAGCCGCGGUAAUA